CCCUUAGAUGUUCUGGGCCGCACGCGCGCUACACUGACGAUGGCAACGAGUUUUUCCUUCGCCGAAAGGUGUGGGUAAUCUUUUGAAACAUCGUCGUGCUGGGGAUAGAUCAUUGCAAUUUUUGAUCUUGAACGAGGAAUUCCUAGUAAGCGCGAGUCAUCAGCUCGCGUUGAUUACGUCCCUGCCCUUUGUACACACCGCCCGUCGCUACUACCGAUUGAAUGGUUUAGUGAGGACUCAUGAUUGGCGCCGCCGCCCCGGCAACGGAGCAGCGGACUGCCGAAAAGUUGUUCAAACUUGAUCAUUUAGAGGAAGUAAAAGUCGUAACA
rnacentral:rRNA from 1 species